rnacentral:rRNA from 1 species
UACGUAGGGUGCAAGCGUUAAUCGGAAUUACUGGGCGUAAAGCGUGCGCAGGCGGUUUUGUAAGUCUGUCGUGAAAUCCCCCGGGGCUUAACCUGGGAAUGGCGAUGGAGACUGCAAGGCUAGAAUCUGGCAGAGGGGGGGGUAGAAUUCCACGUGUAGCAGUGAAAUGCGUAGAGAUGUGGAGGAACACCGAUGGCGAAGGCAGCCCCCCUGGGCUAAGAUUGACGCUCAUGCACGAAAGCGUGGGGAGCAAACAGG